rnacentral:rRNA from 1 species
CCUACGGGAGGCAGCAGUAAGGAAUAUUGGACAAUGGGGGCAACCCUGAUCCAGCCAUGCCGCGUGAGCGAUGAAGGCCUUCGGGUUGUAAAGUUCUUUCGUCCAGGAAGAUAUCGUCCGUGCUCAUACACUAAGCCGCUGAUAACUCCGUGCCAAUAACCGCCGGAUUACUUAGGGCGCUAGCGCUGUUCAAAAUUACUGGGGCUAGCGCUCCUCUAAGUUGCUGGGUUAAUCGCGGGCGAAAGCGCGGCGCUCAACCUCGGAACUGCCUUUGAUACUGCUGAUCUGAAUGGCGAUAGAUGCUGGUGGAAUUCCGAGUGUAAAAGUGAAAUGCAUAUAUCUGCGUAGGAACACCAUUGGCAAAGGUCGCUCACUGCAUCUGUACUGACGCUGACGUGCUGAAGCGUGACUAACACACAGGAUUAAAUACCCUGGUAGUCCACGCCAUUAACUAUCAUGGCUAUCCACCCCGUAGACUGCCCUAUCUAGACGCAGGUGACACUUCACGCUCUCCGCCUGGCGAGUACCGCCGCAAGGUCCCCACUCGAAUAAAUUGGCCG